UUUGGUUUCAAGAACCGUGCAGGUUUGGCAUUACCGCAGGGCAUCACCGGGUAGCGCGCUUGAAUUCAGACCGACGGCCAAAAAAAUCACGCCGUCCUGUCAUCCGCCAACGCAGUCAUGCUUACCGCGGUUAUGUUUAGUGUCACGCCAAGGAGGGAGUUUUAAUGGCAACAGGUACUGUCAAGUGGUUCAGCGAUGCCAAGGGUUUCGGCUUCAUCCCCCCCGAUGACGGCGGCGAGGAUGUGUUCGCGCAUUUCUCCGCCAUCCAGUCCAACGGCUUCAAGACCCUGAAAGAAGGUCAAAAAGUCACGUUCGAAGUCAGCCAGGGCCCCAAGGGCAAGCAGGCUUCCAACAUCCAGCCGCAAGGUUGAGUUGUUGAACUGAAUCAAGAAACCCCGCCGAUGCGGGGUUUCUUUUU
rnacentral:other from 1 species